rnacentral:rRNA from 1 species
GUUAUAGGAUCAAGUGACUAAGUGCACAUGGUGGAUGCCUUGGCGAUCACAGGCGAAGAAGGACGUAAUAGCUUGCGAAAAGCUGCGGGGAGUUGGCAAAUGAGCAUUGAUCCGCAGAUAUCCGAAUGGGGAAACCCACCUCUUAGGAGGUAUCCUUAUCUGAAUACAUAGGGUGAGGAGGCGAACCGAGUGAACUGAAACAUCUAAGUAACUCGAGGAAAAGAAAUCAACCGAGAUUCUGAAAGUAGUGGCGAGCGAAAUUGGAGUAGCCGCAACGAGAUAGUAGUUGUAGUAGUCGAACGCAUUGGGAAGUGCGACCGUAGGGGGUGAUAGUCCUGUAGACGAAACUAUGAUUAUGGUACUAGGCGUUGCAACAAGUAGGGCGGGACACGUGUAAUCCUGUUCGAAUAUGGGGGGACCAUCCUCCAAGGCUAAAUACUCGUGAUCGACCGAUAGUGAACCAGUACCGUGAGGGAAAGGCGAAAAGAACCCCGGGAGGGGAGUGAAAUAGAACCUGAAACCGUGUGCAUACAAACAGUCGGAGCCGAGAGGUGACGGCGUACCUUUUGUAUAAUGGGUCAGCGACUUACAUUCAGUGGCAAGCUUAACCGAGUAGGGAAGGCGAAGCGAAAGCGAGUCCGAAUAGGGCGAAUAUAGUCGCUGGGUGUAGACCCGAAACCAGAUGAUCUAUCCAUGGUCAGGUUGAAGGUGCCGUAACAGGUACUGGAGGACCCAACCCACUAAUGUUGAAAAAUUAGGGGAUGAGCUGUGGAUAGGGGUGAAAGGCUAAACAAAUCUGGAAAUAGCUGGUUCUCUCCGAAAACUAUUUAGGUAGUGCCUCAUGAAUAACUGUUGGGGGUAGAGCACUGUUAUGGCUAGGGGGUCAUGGCGACUUACCAAACCAUGGCAAACUCCGAAUACUGACAAGUUUAAUCAUGGGAGACAGAGCACUGGGUGCUAACGUCCAGACUCAAGAGGGAAACAACCCAGACCGCCAGCUAAGGUCCCUAAAAUUGGCUAAGUGGGAAACGAAGUGGGAAGGCAUAGACAGUCAGGAGGUUGGCUUAGAAGCAGCCACCCUUUAAAGAAAGCGUAAUAGCUCACUGAUCGAGUCGUCCUGCGCGGAAGAUGUAACGGGGCUAAGCCAGUUACCGAAGCUGCGGAUGCAUCCGCUCUUUUAAUUUGUUUAUGUAGAGUUAAGAAGAAGUAGAAAAAGAAGUAAGUGGAUAGACGAAUUAAGAGAGCGGAUGUGUGGUAGGAGAGCGUUCUGUAAGCCUGAGAAGGUGAAUCGAGAGGUUUGCUGGAGGUAUCAGAAGUGCGAAUGCUGACAUGAGUAGCGAUAAAGGGAGUGAAAGGCUCCCUCGCCGUAAGUCCAAGGAUUCCUGCGCAACGUUCAUCGGCGCAGGGUUAGUCGGCCCCUAAGGUGAGGCAGAGAUGCGUAGCUGAUGGGAAGUGGGUUAAUAUUCCUACACCGAUAUGUGAAGUGAAGGGGGGACGGAUUGCGAAAUGUGAACGAGCUGAUGGAAGUGCUCGGUAUUGUAGCUAAGAAGUUGAUUAGGCAAAUCCGGUCAAAGGAUUCAAGGCUAUGAUUCGAAGAAGACGUAAUGUUUUUGAAGUCACAGGAAGUGGUUCCAAGAAAAGCCUCUAAGCGAUAAUUUACAUAUUGACCGUACCGCAAACCGACACAGGUGGACGGGAUGAAUAUUCCAAGGCGCUUGAGAGAACUCAGGAGAAGGAACUCGGCAAAUUGAUACCGUAACUUCGGGAGAAGGUAUGCCUUUGUAUGGUGAAUAGCCAGAAGAGGCCGCAGAGAAUAGGUGGCUGCGACUGUUUAUUAAAAACAUAGCACUCUGCAAACACGAAAGUGGAAGUAUAGGGUGUGACGCCUGCCCGGUGCUGGAAGGUUAAUUGAUGUGGUGCAAGCUAUUGAUCGAAGCCCCAGUAAACGGCGGCCGUAACUAUAACGGUCCUAAGGUAGCGAAAUUCCUUGUCGGGUAAGUUCCGACCUGCACGAAUGGCGUAACGAUGGCCACACUGUCUCCUCCUGAGACUCAG